CACUAUCGUUAACUGAAUACAUAGGUUAACGAGGCGAACCGGGGGAACUGAAACAUCUAAGUACCCCGAGGAAAAGAAAUCAACCGAGAUUCCCCCAGUAGCGGCGAGCGAACGGGGAGCAGCCCAGAGUCUGAAUCAGCUUGUGUGUUAGUGGAACGGUCUGGAAAGUCCGACGGUACAGGGUGAUAGUCCCGUACACCAAAAUGCACAGGCUGUGAACUCGAAGAGUAGGGCGGGACACGUGGUAUCCUGUCUGAAUAUGGGGGGACCAUCCUCCAAGGCUAAAUACUCCUGACUGACCGAUAGUGAACCAGUACCGUGAGGGAAAGGCGAAAAGAACCCCGGCGAGGGGAGUGAAAAAGAACCUGAAACCGUGUACGUACAAGCAGUGGGAGCACCUUCGGGUGUGACUGCGUACCUUUUGUAUAAUGGGUCAGCGACUUAUAUUCUGUAGCAAGGUUAACCGUAUAGGGGAGCCGCAGGGAAACCGAGUCUUAACUGGGCGUUAAGUUGCAGGGUAUAGACCCGAAACCCGGUGAUCUAGCCAUGGGCAGGUUGAAGGUUGGGUAACACUAACUGGAGGACCGAACCGACUAAUGUUGAAAAAUUAGCGGAUGACUUGUGGCUGGGGGUGAAAGGCCAAUCAAACCGGGAGAUAGCUGGUUCUCCCCGAAAGCUAUUUAGGUAGCGCCUCGUGAACUCAUCUUCGGGGGUAGAGCACUGUUUCGGCUAGGGGGUCAUCCCGACUUACCAACCCGAUGCAAACUACGAAUACCGAAGAAUGUUAUCACGGGAGACACACGGCGGGUGCUAACGUCCGUCGUGAAGAGGGAAACAACCCAGACCGCCAGCUAAGGUCCCAAAGUCAUGGUUAAGUGGGAAACGAUGUGGGAAGGCACAGACAGCCAGGAUGUUGGCUUAGAAGCAGCCAUCAUUUAAAGAAAGCGUAAUAGCUCACUGGUCGAGUCGGCCUGCGCGGAAGAUGUAACGGGGCUAAACCAUGCACCGAAGCUGCGGCAGCGACACUAUGUGUUGUUGGGUAGGGGAGCGUUCUGUAAGCCUGCGAAGGUGNUGCUGGAGGUAUCAGAAGUGCGAAUGCUGACAUAAGUAACGAUAAAGCGGGUGAAAAGCCCGCUCGCCGGAAGACCAAGGGUUCCUGUCCAACGUUAAUCGGGGCAGGGUGAGUCGACCCCUAAGGCGAGGCCGAAAGGCGUAGUCGAUGGGAAACAGGUUAAUAUUCCUGUACUUGGUGUUACUGCGAAGGGGGGACGGAGAAGGCUAUGUUAGCCGGGCGACGGUUGUCCCGGUUUAAGCAUGUAGGCUGGUUGUCCAGGCAAAUCCGGAUAAUCAAGGCUGAGGUGUGAUGACGAGGCACUACGGUGCUGAAGUAACAAAUGCCCUGCUUCCAGGAAAAGCCUCUAAGCAUCAGGUAACAUCAAAUCGUACCCCAAACCGACACAGGUGGUCAGGUAGAGAAUACCAAGGCGCUUGAGAGAACUCGGGUGAAGGAACUAGGCAAAAUGGUGCCGUAACUUCGGGAGAAGGCACGCUGGUGUGUAGGUGAAGUCCCUGCGGAUGGAGCUGAGACCAGUCGAAGAUACCAGCUGGCUGCAACUGUUUAUUAAAAACACAGCACUGUGCAAACACGAAAGUGGACGUAUACGGUGUGACGCCUGCCCGGUGCCGGAAGGUUAAUUGAUGGGGUUAUCCGUAAGGAGAAGCUCUUGAUCGAAGCCCCGGUAAACGGCGGCCGUAACUAUAACGGUCCUAAGGUAGCGAAAUUCCUUGUCGGGUAAGUUCCGACCUGCACGAAUGGCGUAAUGAUGGCCAGGCUGUCUCCACCCGAGACUCAGUGAAAUUGAACUCGCUGUGAAGAUGCAGUGUACCCGCGGCAAGACGGAAAGACCCCGUGAACCUUUACUAUAGCUUGACACUGAACAUUGAGCCUUGAUGUGUAGGAUAGGUGGGAGGCUUUGAAGCGUGGACGCCAGUCUGCGUGGAGCCAACCUUGAAAUACCACCCUUUAAUGUUUGAUGUUCUAACGUUGGCCCCUGACCGGGGUUGCGGACAGUGUCUGGUGGGUAGUUUGACUGGGGCGGUCUCCUCCCAAAGCGUAACGGAGGAGCACGAAGGUUAGCUAAUCCUGGUCGGACAUCAGGAGGUUAGUGCAAUGGCAUAAGCUAGCUUGACUGCGAGCGUGACGGCGCGAGCAGGUGCGAAAGCAGGUCAUAGUGAUCCGGUGGUUCUGAAUGGAAGGGCCAUCGCUCAACGGAUAAAAGGUACUCCGGGGAUAACAGGCUGAUACCGCCCAAGAGUUCAUAUCGACGGCGGUGUUUGGCACCUCGAUGUCGGCUCAUCACAUCCUGGGGCUGAAGUAGGUCCCAAGGGUAUGGCUGUUCGCCAUUUAAAGUGGUACGCGAGCUGGGUUUAGAACGUCGUGAGACAGUUCGGUCCCUAUCUGCCGUGGGCGCUGGAGAAUUGAGGGGGGCUGCUCCUAGUACGAGAGGACCGGAGUGGACGCAUCACUGGUGUUCGGGUUGUCAUGCCAAUGGCACUGCCCGGUAGCUAAAUGCGGAAGAGAUAAGUGCUGAAAGCAUCUAAGCACGAAACUUGCCCCGAGAUGAGUUCUCCCUGAGACUUUAAGUCUCCUGAAGGAACGUUGAAGACGACGACGUUGAUAGGCCGGGUGUGUAAGCGCAGCGAUGCGUUGAGCUAACCGGUACUAAUGAACCGUGAGGCUUAACCUU
rnacentral:rRNA from 1 species